AGUGAACGCUGGCGGUAGGCCUAACACAUGCAAGUCGAACGGCAGCACAGUAAGAGCUUGCUCUUACGGGUGGCGAGUGGCGGACGGGUGAGGAAUACAUCGGAAUCUACUUUUUCGUGGGGGAUAACGUAGGGAAACUUACGCUAAUACCGCAUACGACCUACGGGUGAAAGCAGGGGAUCUUCGCACCUUGCGCGAUUGAAUGAGCCGAUGUCGGAUUAGCUAGUUGGCGGGGUAAAGGCCCACCAAGGCGACGAUCCGUAGCUGGUCUGAGAGGAUGAUCGGCCACACUGGAACUGAGACACGGUCCAGACUCCUACGGGAGGCAGCAGUGGGGAAUAUUGGGCAAUGGGCGCAAGCCUGAUCCAGCCAUACCGCGUGGGUGAUGAAGGCCUUCGGGUUGUAAAGCCCUGUUGUUGGGAAAGAAAAGCAGCAGGUUAAUACCCCGCUGUUCUGACGGUACCCAAAGAAUAAGCACCGGCUAACUUCGUG
rnacentral:rRNA from 1 species